GCUCUGCACUGGUUACGACCGUGCAGGCCGUCCAUAAAGUGUGGUCAGCCGGAUUAUCCUCCUUCGGGGAAUACGCUUAUGGGUCAGGCAUAACGCAGAGUAGUGCAAUAUCGAAACGCGGGGCCUGC
ncrna:unclassified sequences RT-10 RNA